rnacentral:rRNA from 1 species
UACGAAGGGGGCGAGCGUUGUUCGGAAUCACUGGGCGUAAAGGGCGCGUAGGCGGCCCUCUUUGUCGCGUGUGAAAGCCCCGGGCUCAACCUGGGAACGGCGCGCGAAACGGGGGGGCUGGAGUUCGGGAGAGGAGAGUGGAAUUCCCAGUGUAGAGGUGAAAUUCGUAGAUAUUCGGAAGAACACCAGUGGCGAAGGCGACUUACUGGACACAUAUUGACGCUGAGGUGCGAAAGCGUGGGGAGCAAACAGG